CCUACGGGUGGCAGCAGUGGGGAAUAUUGCUCAAUGGGGGGAACCCUGAUGCAGCGACGCCGCGUGAGUGAAGAAGUAUUUCGGUAUGUAAAGCUCUAUUAGUAGGGAAGAAAAUGACGGUACCUGACUAAUAAGCCCCGGCUAACUACGUGCCAGCAGCCGCGGUAAUACGUAGGGGGCAAGCGUUAUCCGGAUUUACUGGGUGUAAAGGGAGCGUAGGCGGUUAUGCAAGUCUGAAGUGAAAGCCCAAGGCUCAACCAUGGGACUGCUUUUGAAACUGGAGAAAUGGAGUGCAGGAGAGGUAUGCGGAAUGCGUGGUGUAGCGGUGAAAUGCAUAGAUAUUAGGAAGAACACCGAUGGCGAAGGCAGCUUACUGGACUGUAACUGACGUUGAGGCUCGAAAGCGUGGGGAGCAAACAGGAUUAGAUACCCGAGUAGUC
rnacentral:rRNA from 1 species